rnacentral:rRNA from 1 species
ACGCUCGACACCUACGGGAGCAGCAGUGGGGAAUAUUGCACAAUGGGGGAAACCCUGAUGCAGCGACGCCGCGUGGAGGAAGAAGGUCUUCGGAUUGUAAACUCCUGUUGUUGGGGAAAAAGAGGAUGGUACCCAACAAGGAAGUGACGGCUAACUACGUUCCAGCAGCCGCGGUAAUCUGAGCGGGCUGGCAAGGC